rnacentral:tRNA from 1 species
GCGGGUGUAGUUUAGUGGCAAAAUGAAAGCUUCCCAUGCUUUAGUUGCGGGUUCGAUUCCCGCCACCCGCU